AGAGUUUGAUCAUGGCUCAGAUUGAACGCUGGCGGCAGGCCUAACACAUGCAAGUCGAACGGUAACAGGAAGCAGCUUGCUGCUUCGCUGACGAGUGGCGGACGGGUGAGUAAUGUCUGGGAAACUGCCUGAUGGAGGGGGAUAACUACUGGAAACGGUGGCUAAUACCGCAUAACGUCGCAAGACCAAAGAGGGGGACCUUCGGGCCUCUUGCCAUCAGAUGUGCCCAGAUGGGAUUAGCUUGUUGGUGAGGUAACGGCUCACCAAGGCGACGAUCCCUAGCUGGUCUGAGAGGAUGACCAGCCACACUGGAACUGAGACACGGUCCAGACUCCUACGGGAGGCAGCAGUGGGGAAUAUUGCACAAUGGGCGCAAGCCUGAUGCAGCCAUGCCGCGUGUAUGAAGAAGGCCUUCGGGUUGUAAAGUACUUUCAGCGGGGAGGAAGGUGUUGUGGUUAAUAACCACAGCAAUUGACGUUACCCGCAGAAGAAGCACCGGCUAACUCCGUGCCAGCAGCCGCGGUAAUACGGAGGGUGCAAGCGUUAAUCGGAAUUACUGGGCGUAAAGCGCACGCAGGCGGUCUGUCAAGUCGGAUGUGAAAUCCCCGGGCUCAACCUGGGAACUGCAUUCGAAACUGGCAGGCUUGAGUCUUGUAGAGGGGGGUAGAAUUCCAGGUGUAGCGGUGAAAUGCGUAGAGAUCUGGAGGAAUACCGGUGGCGAAGGCGGCCCCCUGGACAAAGACUGACGCUCAGGUGCGAAAGCGUGGGGAGCAAACAGGAUUAGAUACCCUGGUAGUCCACGCCGUAAACGAUGUCUACUUGGAGGUUGUGCCCUUGAGGCGUGGCUUCCGGAGCUAACGCGUUAAGUAGACCGCCUGGGGAGUACGGCCGCAAGGUUAAAACUCAAAUGAAUUGACGGGGGCCCGCACAAGCGGUGGAGCAUGUGGUUUAAUUCGAUGCAACGCGAAGAACCUUACCUGGUCUUGACAUCCACGGAAGUCUUCAGAGAUGAGAAUGUGCCUUCGGGAACCGUGAGACAGGUGCUGCAUGGCUGUCGUCAGCUCGUGUUGUGAAAUGUUGGGUUAAGUCCCGCAACGAGCGCAACCCUUAUCCUUUGUUGCCAGCGGUUAGGCCGGGAACUCAAAGGAGACUGCCAGUGAUAAACUGGAGGAAGGUGGGGAUGACGUCAAGUCAUCAUGGCCCUUACGACCAGGGCUACACACGUGCUACAAUGGCGCAUACAAAGAGAAGCGACCUCGCGAGAGCAAGCGGACCUCAUAAAGUGCGUCGUAGUCCGGAUUGGAGUCUGCAACUCGACUCCAUGAAGUCGGAAUCGCUAGUAAUCGUGGAUCAGAAUGCCACGGUGAAUACGUUCCCGGGCCUUGUACACACCGCCCGUCACACCAUGGGAGUGGGUUGCAAAAGAAGUAGGUAGCUUAACCUUCGGGAGGGCGCUUACCACUUUGUGAUUCAUGACUGGGGUGAAGUCGUAACAAGGUAACCGUAGGGGAACCUGCGGUUG
rnacentral:rRNA from 1 species